rnacentral:rRNA from 1 species
GAUGAACGCUGGCGGCGUGCUUAACACAUGCAAGUCGAACGAAGCACUUUAUUUGAUUUCCUUCGGGACUGAUUAUUUUGUGACUGAGUGGCGGACGGGUGAGUAACGCGUGGGUAACCUGCCUUGUACAGGGGGAUAACAGUUGGAAACGGCUGCUAAUACCGCAUAAGCGCACGGCAUCGCAUGAUGCAGUGUGAAAAACUCCGGUGGUAUAAGAUGGACCCGCGUUGGAUUAGCUAGUUGGUGAGGUAACGGCCCACCAAGGCGACGAUCCAUAGCCAACCUGAGAGGGUGACCGGCCACAUUGGGACUGAGACACGGCCCAAACUCCUACGGGAGGCAGCAGUGGGGAAUAUUGCACGAUGGGCGAAAGCCUGAUGCAGCGACGCCGCGUGAGCGAAGAAGUAUUUCGGUAUGUAAAGCUCUAUCAGCAGGGAAGAUAAUGACGGUACCUGACUAAGAAGCACCGGCUAAAUACGUGCCAGCAGCCGCGGUAAUACGUAUGGUGCAAGCGUUAUCCGGAUUUACUGGGUGUAAAGGGAGCGCAGGCGGUGCGGCAAGUCUGAUGUGAAAGCCCGGGGCUCAACCCCGGUACUGCAUUGGAAACUGUCGUACUAGAGUGUCGGAGGGGUAAGCGGAAUUCCUAGUGUAGCGGUGAAAUGCGUAGAUAUUAGGAGGAACACCAGUGGCGAGGGCGGCUUACUGGACGAUAACUGACGCUGAGGCUCGAAAGCGUGGGGAGCAAACAGGAUUAGAUACCCUGGUAGUCCACGCCGUAAACG